rnacentral:rRNA from 6 species
CUUUCAACAACGGAUCUCUUGGUUCUGGCAUCGAUGAAGAACGCAGCGAAAUGCGAUAAGUAAUGUGAAUUGCAGAAUUCAGUGAAUCAUCGAAUCUUUGAACGCACAUUGCGCCCCUCGGCAUUCCGGGGGGCAUGCCUGUUCGAGCGUCA